GGGUCCGCACAAGCGGUGGAGCAUGUGGUUUAAUUCGAUGAUACGCGAGGAACCUUACCUGGGCUCGAACACUAUUAGACGAUACCUGAAAGGGUAUUUCUCUUCGGAGCUGGUAGUGAGGUGCUGCAUGGUUGUCGUCAGCUCGUGCCGUGAGGUGUCAGGUUAAGUCCUAUAACGAGCGCAACCCCUACCGUUAGUUGCCAGCGUGUAAUGACGGGGACUCUAACGGAACUGCCGGUGCAAACCGUGAGGAAGGUGGGGACGACGUCAAGUCAUCAUGGCCCUUACGGCUUGGGCUACACACGUGCUACAAUGGCAAGUACAGACGGCUGCUAACCCGCGAGGGGGAGCUAAUCCGACAAAACUUGUCGUAGUCCGGAUCGAAGUCUGCAACUCGACUUCGUG
rnacentral:rRNA from 1 species